rfam:Picea glauca, whole genome shotgun sequence.
AUGUAAUGUAAUUCCUACAACAAUAAUGCACUCAAUCCCAUUAUAAAUCCGCAGUUAAGAAUGCUUGGGCUAAAGUAGUUACUCGGAUGGGUGACCUCUCAAGAAGUACUAGUGUUUUACAUG